AGAAAAGCAAAGAUCAAGAGGAGUAUUUAGUAAGCCUACUUUUAGAGAGAAGAUGAGGGUGGAACAUUUUCAGUAGGAGCUAAAGAAGGUAGCUUGGGAGUUAUUUAGCUGAAGGCAGUAAGCUGAAUCGGAUCGUGACCGUUAACACACGCUAAAGGGGUAGAGUAAGCUCUACAAUUUAGGUGGUACCGCGUAUCUUACGUCCUAAUG
rnacentral:ncRNA from 1 species